UACGUAGGGGGCAAGCGUUGUCCGGGUUUAUUGGGCGUAAAGAGCGUGUAGGCGGCUAGAUAGGUCCGUUGUGAAAACUCGAGGCUCAACCUCGAGACGUCGAUGGAAACCAUCUGGCUAGAGUCCGGAAGAGGAGAGUGGAAUUCCUGGUGUAGCGGUGAAAUGCGCAGAUAUCAGGAAGAACACCCGCGGCGAAGGCGGCUCUCUGGUACGUGACUGACGCUGAGACGCGAAAGCGUGGGGAGCAAACAGG
rnacentral:rRNA from 1 species